rnacentral:rRNA from 1 species
GUCCACGCCCUAAACGGUGCACACUAGGUCUUGGCGGAUUCGACCCCACCAGGGCCCAAGCUAACGCGUUAAGUGUGCCGCCUGAGGACUACGGUCGCAAGACUAAAACUCAAAGGAAUUGACGGGGGCCCGCACAAGCGGUGGAGCAUGUGGCUUAAUUCGAUGCAACGCGAAGAACCUUACCAGGCCUUGACAUGCACUUUACUGACAUUGAAAGGUGUCUUUCCUUCGGGACAAGUGCACAGGUGCUGCAUGGCUGUCGU